rnacentral:rRNA from 1 species
AACCUGGUUGAUCCUGCCAGUAGUCAUAUGCUUGUCUCAAAGACUAAGCCAUGCAUGUCUAAGUAUAAGUAUUAUACAGCGAAACUGCGAAUGGCUCAUUAAAACAGUUAUAAUUUAUUUGAUAAUCGAAUUUACAUGGAUAACCGUGGUAAUUCUAGAGCUAAUACAUGCUGGUAGGCCCGACUUUUUGGAAGGGCGGUAUUUAUUAGAUAACAAACCAAUAUUCCUCUGGUCUAUUGUGGUGAAUCAUAAUAACUGAUCGAAUCGCAAGGUUUUUAACCGCGAUAAGUCAUUCAAGUUUCUGCCCCAUCAGCUUUCGAUGGUAGUGUAUUGGACUACCAUGGCUUUUACGGGUAACGGAGGAUUAGGGUUCGAUUCCGGAGAGGGAGCCUGAGAAACGGCUACCACAUCUAAGGAAGGCAGCAGGCGCGUAAAUUACCCAAUCCUGACUCAGGGAGGUAGUGACAAGAAAUAACGGACCGAGGCCUUCGGGCUUCGGGAUUGCAAUGAGCCGAAUUUACACCCCUUAGCGAAGAUCGAUUGGAGGGCAAGUCAGGUGCCAGCAGCCGCGGUAAUUCCAGCUCCAAUAGCGUAUAUUAAUGUUGUUGCAGUUAAAAAGCUCGUAGUUGGAUUUCUGGGAAAGUGCAUAUGUUCGCUUAACGUGUGUGCAUCUGCGCCUUCUCA